rnacentral:tRNA from 1 species
ACCUGGGUGGCUCAGUGGGUUAAGUGUCUGACUUCGGCUCAGGUCAUGAUCUUGCAGUUUGUGAGUUCGAGCCCCUCCUCGGGCU